UACGGAGGGGCUAGCGUUGUUCGGAAUUACUGGGCGUAAAGCGCACGUAGGCGGAUCAGCAAGUUAGGGGUGAAAUCCCGGGGCUCAACCCCGGAACUGCCUUUAAGACUGUUGGUCUGGAGUCCGAGAGAGGUGAGUGGAAUUCCGAGUGUAGAGGUGAAAUUCGUAGAUAUUCGGAGGAACACCAGUGGCGAAGGCGGCUCACUGGCUCGGUACUGACGCUGAGGUGCGAAAGCGUGGGGAGCAAACAGGG
rnacentral:rRNA from 1 species